rnacentral:rRNA from 1 species
GACAGAGGGUGCAAACGUUGUUCGGAAUUACUGGGCGUAAAGGGCGCGUAGGCGGCCAUUCAAGUCGGGGGUGAAAGCCCAGGGCUCAACCCUGGAAUUGCCUUCGAUACUGUUUGGCUAGAGACCGGAAGAGGUAAGUGGAACUGCGAGUGUAGAGGUGAAAUUCGUAGAUAUUCGCAAGAACACCAGUGGCGAAGGCGGCUUACUGGUCCGGUUCUGACGCUGAGGCGCGAAAGCGUGGGGAGCAAACAGG